UAUUAGGCUAGUAGAGAGUUGAGAAUGUAUAGUGUCAUGCUGUGACAGAUGCAAUCUCAAUGUGACAACUCUUCCAGAAGUCUGUUUUAGUUGGUGUUCACAAGUGAACGCUUGACUGUGUUUGGUGGGUGGAAAUUUAGAUGAGGAAAUUACCCAUUUCCGACUAAACUUAUCAGCUGAUCAAUUUUUUUUUAUGGUGGAUGAGAAUAUCAUAAAUGCUGAGUUCUUGUUGAGACCAUCAUCACCUGCCUCACCAUGAUCUACCAGCAAGGAGUAUCUGCCAGACACCUUGUGGUGCUCUCCAUUCUGCUAGGGCUCAGCCUCUUGGGAGAGACAAAUACCAGCUGUCUGGUCCAUCUGAAAAACCGGUAUAAAUUAGCGGAACAUCAAGCAAAUGUAACCCUCGAAUCAUAUCAGACCGUUUUCAACCUCUCGCCGUCAACUGAAGAGAUUUGCCCGGACAUCCUCAAGCAUGUCAUCCAUGUCUCUGACAUCAAGAAGACACUGAAGAACCUCUACUUGUACCGCUACCCCGCCUUGCCAAGGUCCUGCAGUACCACGAGGACCUGUCAUACCCACAUUUCCUCCUGCAAAAUCUGAACGAGUUAAACGGAACUAUGUAUCGUACCUUUGACUUGAUCGCAGCGCUAUCCAUCAAAUUUCAAAAACCUCCCAAACCUGAGGAGUUCAACGACGGCGACCAUGUUAAGAAGAUAUAUGGGUGGUGUGUUUUGUACCGGAUUAAAAACAUACUGGAGGAGGGGAAUCCUAUUGUUCAAAGUCUGAGCAUGACAGACGUAUGUCAUAAACUAAAUCACCAAAGAGUGCCGACACACCUGUCCACUUGUUGUUAGUGCCGAAACAAGCGACCUUACUGAGCAUGUUGGUUCAUCUUAGGUGAAAGGUCGUUUAUAUUGUAUUUGUUGGCACUGGUUACUGUAUUCGGAGAAAACAGCGAAUCAGAUAAGACAUUGUACGCCAUUUAUUUUUAAGUUAUAUUUAUAUAUUUAAUAUAUUUAACAGAACAAGUUAGUGGACCAUACAUUGGAUUCAGCAGUAUCAUAAUCUGUUGUAAAUAAGAUUCAUUGCAAGACAGAUAUUGCAUUCCUUUUUCUUCAGAUGUAUGAGACAAUAUUUAUUUGUACCAAUUUUUCUAUUUAAUAAAAAUG